rnacentral:rRNA from 1 species
UCAAUAUAAAUUGAUUAGAUUUUAUUUAUUAAUUUUUUUUUUAUUAAAAAUUAAUUAUUAAAAAUAAUUAUUUAAUUAUUUGUUUUAGUAUAUAAUAGAGAAAAAAUAAUAUUAAUAAUAGUUUAAUAGUAUUGUAAAAUAAAAUUGAAAUAUUUUGAAAAAUUUUUAUUAUAAAAGUAAAUUUAAUUUAUUGUACCUUGUGUAUCAGGGUUUAUUAAUUAAAAAUUAUUUAGAAUAAUUUUCUCGAUUUUAAAAGAGUUAAUAUAUUAUAAAAUUUAAUGUAAUAAAAUUAUUUUAAAUAAUAUAUUAGUAAUGAAAUGUUAUUCGUUUUUAAAGGUAUCUAGUUCUUCAAGAAAUAAAUUUAAUUUAUAAAUUUUAUAUUAUUUAAUUAAAUAAAUUAAUUAAAUAAAUAUUUUAUUUUUAUAUUUUAUGGGAUAAGCUAUAAAAUAAAUUUUUAAAAAUUCAUAAUUUAAUUAAUAAAUAUAAGCUUAGAAAUAGUUAUUAUUAAUAAAAAUGUUAUAAUUUAUUUUAUAAUAAUUAAUUAUUUAAUUGAAUUUUAAAUUUUUAUUGAAGUUUUUAUUUUAAUAAUAAUAAUAAAAUAAUAAUGAUAUAAUUAGUAUAAUUUAUUUUAUUAAUAAAUUUUUAUGAUAAGUUAUUAUAAAGAACUCGGCAAAAAUAAUAUUCGCCUGUUUAACAAAAACAUGUCUUUUUUUUAUUUAUAAAAAGUCUAACCUGCCCACUGAAAAUUUUAAAUGGCCGCAGUAUUUUAACUGUGCAAAGGUAGCAUAAUCAUUAGUCUUUUAAUUGAAGGCUUGUAUGAAUGGUUGGACGAGAUAUUAACUGUUUCAUAAUAAUUUUUUUUAGAAUUUUAUUUUUUAGUCAAAAAGCUAAAAUUUUUUUAAAAGACGAGAAGACCCUAUAAAUCUUUAUAUUAUAAUUAUUAUUAUUAUUUAGAUUAUUUUUAUAAUAAUAAGUAAUAAUAUUUUAUUGGGGUGAUAUUAAAAUUUGUAAAACUUUUAAUUUAAUUUUUCAUUAAUUUAUGAUUAUAUGAUCCACUUUUAGUGAUUAUAAAUAUAAGUUACUUUAGGGAUAACAGCGUAAUUUUUUUGGAGAGUUCUUAUUGAUAAAAAAGAUUGCGACCUCGAUGUUGGAUUAAGAGAUAAUUUUAGGUGCAGUAGCUUAAAUUUUAAGUCUGUUCGACUUUU